UAGAUGCAUCAAAAUACUUGUCAUCGAAAUGGAUAAAAAGAGAUGUAUCUAGAACUAAUAUACAUCUAGAUACAUCCCUUUUUAUUGAUUUUAAUGACAAGUAUUUUCGGACGGAGAGAGUACUAA
rnacentral:pre_miRNA from 1 species